rnacentral:rRNA from 1 species
GAUGAACGCUAGCUGGAGGCUUAACACAUGCAAGUCGAGCGCCCCGCAAGGGGAGCGGCAGACGGGUGAGUAACACGUGGGAAUCUACCCAUCCCUGCGGAACAACUCCGGGAAACUGGAGCUAAUACCGCAUACGCCCUACGGGGGAAAGAUUUAUCGGGGAUGGAUGAGCCCGCGUUGGAUUAGCUAGUUGGUGGGGU